UACAAACUGCCAGACCAGGAUCUGAACUUAGGUUUCCUGGCUUCUAAGUUAGCUCUUAGCCACUCACCUGUACUGUACAUGACAAAUGUCCCGUAAACAGUAGCUACUUCCGUUCAUCUUUUUUUCCUGGCACUUAUGACAUAAAGAGGGGAGAGGUCAGAGGAUGGUGGAGAGGUCCUCAGAGGCCAGGUCAUUAAGGAGCUUGGAAUCAUAUUGAGGAGUAAGGAUUUUAUUCUAAGGGUGACCAGUUCCCAAUCCAACAGUAUAUUCACACCCCCCUGAGCUGGAGCAUUGGCAGUGGAAGUCAGAUCUGUGACCAAGUGACAGUUAAGAGUACAAAGAGGGAGAGGAGAAGGGGACCAAAUGUAGAAUUCUUCUUGUUGUUGGUAUUGUUUGGUUUUAAAACAUUUUUUUUUAACAUGGGUAGGAAGAAGAGUCCAGGAAGCAGGCUCAAAAAGACUGAUCAGAGAGCAGGAAUUCAGAUCCUUUUCAUCUGUGACUCUGUCAUUUUCAACAUGUGGCUUCAAAAGUCUGCUUCAAGCCAGUGAAAAGAAAACAAAUAUGAAGAAUAGACUUUUCCAGGCCUGGAAGUGGCACUUAUGACUUUCACUCACAUCCCAACAGCCAGAACUCAGUUAUAUGGGAAAUGUAAUCUAACUAUGUGUCCAUGAAGAACAGGACAUCCGGGAAGCAAUUAGCAGUUUUUUCUACAAUGGUAUAGCAACUGGAUCAGUGUGGAGAAUUUACAGGGCAUCAAAGAAGAACCACUCUUCUUUACCCAACAUGGUGGUGUAGGUACACUAGAAACUCUUGGUGGAGGAAUAGGUCAGACCUAUAAGUGAACAGGAAGCCAGUGGUUACAUUUAGGGGGAAAUAUUUGAAAUUCUAAUAAAGUUUUUUCAUUGUCUAAAAUAUACUGAAAGGAAUUUUCUUAAAUGAACACAUUCUUCAAUAAUACAAAGUUGGCAAAUUGGCAGGUUGGGAAGUAGGCAGUAGCAAUGUGAACCAGUUGGAACUAGACAAGAAGCCCAGACUAGAAAAACAAAGCCCAGGCAAAAAUCCAAGAAUGCCAGGGCAAUACCAGCAUGAGAAAUCAGAUAAGUGAAUAGAAACCAGGAAGCCAUAGAAAUUUUGGAGCAGAGUAAAAUUAAAGUUACAAAACCUGGAUGGGAGAGCUGGUCCUACUAUUUACAGAUGGACACAGGAGAACCCGCU
rnacentral:lncRNA from 10 species